rnacentral:rRNA from 1 species
UACGAAGGGGGCUAGCGUUGCUCGGAAUCACUGGGCGUAAAGGGUGCGUAGGCGGGUCUUUUAAGUCAGGGGUGAAAUCCUGGAGCUCAACUCCAGAACUGCCUUUGAUACUGAAGAUCUUGAGUCCGGGAGAGGUGAGUGGAACUGCGAGUGUAGAGGUGAAAUUCGUAGAUAUUCGCAAGAACACCAGUGGCGAAGGCGGCUCACUGGCCGUCGUACGUGACGCUGAGGUGCGAAAGCGUGGGGAGCAAACAGGAUUAGAAUCGACUAG